GAUGAACGCUAGCGGCAGGCCUAAUACAUGCAAGUCGAACGGUGUCUUCGGACAUAGUGGCGCACGGGUGCGUAACACGUAUGCAACCUACCUUACAUUGGGGGAUAGCCUUUCGAAAGGGAGAUUAAUACCGCAUAAGACAGUAACUAGGCAUCUAGUAGCUGUUAAAGAUUUAUCGAUGUAAGCUGGGCAUGCGUCCAAUUAGUUAGUUGGUGAGGUAAUGGCUCACCAAGACGAUGAUUGGUAGGGGAACUGAGAGGUCAAUCCCCCACACUGGCACUGAGAUACGGGCCAGACUCCUACGGGAGGCAGCAGUAGGGAAUAUUGGGCAAUGGGCGCAAGCCUGACCCAGCCAUGCCGCGUGCAGGAAGAAGGCGUUCUGCGUUGUAUACUGCUUUUAUAUAGGAAGAAACGGCCCUUGCGAGGGACAUUGACGGUACUAUAUGAAUAAGCACCGGCUAACUCCGUGCCAGCCGCCGCCGUAACAC
rnacentral:rRNA from 1 species